rnacentral:rRNA from 1 species
UACGGGAGGCAGCAGUGGGGAAUAUUGCACAAUGGGCGCAAGCCUGAUGCAGCCAUGCCGCGUGUAUGAAGAAGGCCUUCGGGUUGUAAAGUACUUUCAGUCGUGAGGAAGGUGUUAAGGUUAAUAACCUUAGCAAUUGACGUUAGCGACAGAAGAAGCACCGGCUAACUCCGUGCCAGCAGCCGCGGUAAUACGGAGGGUGCGAGCGUUAAUCGGAAUUACUGGGCGUAAAGGGCACGCAGGCGGUUAAUUAAGUUGGAUGUGAAAUCCCCGGGCUUAACCUGGGAAUGGCAUUCAAGACUGGUUAGCUAGAGUCUUGUAGAGGGGGUAGGAAUUCCAUGUGUAGCGGUGAAAUGCGUAGAGAUGUGGAGGAAUACCGGUGGCGAAGGCGGCCCCGUGGACCAAAGGACUGACGCUCAUGUGCGAAAGCGUGGGGAGGCAACAGGAUUAGAUACC